AGUGAACGCUGGCGGUAGGCCUAACACAUGCAAGUCGAACGGCAGCACAGUAAGAGCUUGCUCUUACGGGUGGCGAGUGGCGGACGAGUGCGGAAUACAUCGGAAUCUACUUUUUCGUGGGGGAUAACGUAGGGAAACUUACGCUAAUACCGCAUACGACCUACGGGUGAAAGCAUGGGAUCUUCGGACCUUGCGCGAUUGAAUGAGCCGAUGUCGGAUUAGCUAGUUGGCGGGGUAAAGGCCCACCAAGGCGACGAUCCGUAGCUGGUCUGAGAGGAUGAUCAGCCACACUGGAACUGAGACACGGUCCAGACUCCUACGGGAGGCAGCAGUGGGGAAUAUUGGACAAUGGGCGCAAGCCUGAUCCAGCCAUACCGCGUGGGUGAAGAAGGCCUUCGGGUUGUAAAGCCCUUUUGUUGGGAAAGAAAAGCAGCAGGUUAAUACCCCGCUGUUCUGACGGUACCCAAAGAAUAAGCACCGGCUAACUUCGUG
rnacentral:rRNA from 1 species